UUGUGGAGGCGGAGGCAGCCUAUGGCAGUCAGGCCUAGGGAGGUGGGGGGGUGAGCAAAGGGGGCUGGCGCUGCUCUGCAGAGGAUGGGUUUGCCGUUUUCGGUUAGGAAAAUGUUUGUGUUCCCCCAACAUGAGGCAUCUUAGGGGAGCACUGGCUUUUCUGAUGCGUCUGUGUGUCCACAAGAGACCAUGGCUCCACCUCCAUUUUGGAGACCGGGAGGCCGAGGUUCCUUUUGGCCUCAUCGGGCAGAUCCCAGAGGAGACUGGACUUUGGGGUCUAGUGACCAGGCCAGAAGGUGCUCUCAGGGGUGGGUGCGGGACAGUCCCAGGCCGCAAGGCUGUCAGAGGAAGGCGCCCCUUGGUAGAGAGGCCAACUCUGGGACCCACAGGGGUCUCUCCAGAGUCAGAGCCAUCAGUGGGUGAGAGGCUGGUCUGGAAGGUGGUGAGCUCCCCAUCACCAGGCCUGUGAGCAGGUGCUGCAGCCCGGGGAACCCCUUGGGCCCUCAGCUCCUGGGUUCUCCAUGACCCACCAUUUCCAUGGCCCUGGAUGAGGUGGGCCCAUCUGCCUCUGCGGAGACUUGGCACUGCCCCCAAGACCACUCAGUCCCCUCUCCUGUUGCCACUGAGGCUGGGGCACUGAGGUUCAUGCGGCUUUGGGGCUCAAAGAGCUCUAUUUCUCCCUGAUUUGACCCCCCUCCCCCUCCUGGCCUCCAGACCCCUUCCUCCAGCCCUCCUUCCACUCUGCCACUCAAUGCUCCAACUGGAACAUGGGCCUCCCCUGCUCUAACACCACCCAUGGCUCCCUUCUCCCAGGUCAAGGUCCAGCUUCUCAGCCUGGCAUCCAUGGCCCGGCCUGAGUGCUCCUGGCGUGCACCUCCCUCCCACCCUGACCCCAGCCCCGCGGGAGCACCUCAGAGCAUGGCCCGGCCCCUGACCCUCAUCUGGGGGUGCCCUCAGCAGGAGAUGGAGACAGCCCUGAGGGCAGACAAAUCCCAGCUUCUGCUCUACGUGGCUGCCUGCAGGGAUGUGCCUUCUCAAGCAUCUGUUCCCCCAUCUGGCCUUUACUGCUACCUGGUACUGCCUAACAUGCUGGCGUCGGCUCCCUCUCCAGAAUGUGAGCCGCCUUAGUUCUGGGGCAGCAGUUCCCACGGGGGGGUGAUUGUGUCCCAAGGGGAGACUGGGCACUAGAUGGGAACGUCUGUGGUUCUCACAGCUGUGGGUGCGCCUGGCAUGGAGUGGGUGGAGGCCAGGGAUACUGCUCAGCACCCUGCAGUGCCCAGGACAGCCCCACCCCAGAGAACUAUCUGGCCCCAGUGUCCACAGUGCCCACAGGCAGAGACCCUGGAGGGGUCCAUGCGUCUCAAACUUUGCCCACCCCAGCAUGGCCAGCGUUGCCUGGGAACUCGGUGGCAUGCAAGUUCUCAGGCCUCACCCCAGAGCCAGGGCUGCAGCUCAGCUUCCCACAAGGCACAGGAUGGCCCCAGAUGUCCACAAAGCCGAGGUGCAGAAGCCUGUUCUGGGGGCCAGCUCAUCUAGCCUGGGUCUGGCUGGACCUCCACUAGCUGAGACGGAAGCCCAGCCAGCCCGCUCGCCUCUUCGUGGAGAAGCCCGACGCAGCGCUGGCCACUCCCUCCCCUCCGUGUGCAGCUCCCCGGCUCUGAAGCGCUCGCUCGUCUAACCCGAUUCUCACCCUACAGGACCGCAACCCGCCAUCACUCCUGCCCUCCGCCAGGACACCGAGGCCAGCUGUGUCACUGCCCCGAGGGGUUGCAGGUGCCGAGCCGCGAGGCCUGAGGGGUGGCAGGGAGAGAGGUGGGGGCAUCUUCCCACUCCAGCCCCGUCUGGCCUCAGCACCCGACAGCCAGGAGAAGAGUUCUGGGGUCUUCCAGACAAGCCCCCACGUCCUGCAGCAGCCUGUGCUCCCUCGAAAGGGAGGUGACUCCUCUACCUUCGGGAGCCUCCGCCUCCUUCCCACCUGCAGGGGGACCCUGGAAAGGCUGGGGCAGCCUCCGAGCAUCGAGGUGAAGGCCGAGGAGUCUUUAUUGGUGACAGGCUGCUCACCGGCUGUCCCAAAAGCAGACACAGCUCAGGGCACAAGCUGCGUGCAGGCUGGCAUCUGGAACAGGUGAGGGAAUCCAGUGAUGCCAUCCAGCUGUCCGUGCUGAGAACCCAACGAGGGGCUUCCUUCCCACUGAAGCCCACGCCUGCGCCCAGCGGGGACCCCGAGCUCAAGUCCCGGAGUUAAUUCUCCAGCUUGCAGAGCUGAGAGACGCCCCCAUCCUGGCCCACCCUCUCUGUCCCAGUAGAAAAACCUGGACCCGCCUGGGGUCUAGGCAAGGCUGCUGGGUCUGUUUCCGGUGGGGCAGCAGCUGAGCCUGACCUGGGUCCCUCCCGCCUGUGACCUGCCUGGUCAUAGACAAGACAAGCCCCUGACCAGGCAUGGGCCUAGGGGUGGCCGUGACCCAGCCAGGAGUGCUGCAUUCGGAUGAAGAUGGCACUGGGUGCUCUGCGCUUGGAGUUUUGGUUUUUUAUGUGUGCUUUUGAGACCAAGUCUUGCUCUGUC